CUCCUGUUUAACAAAAACAUCUCUUCUUGAAUAUAUUUUGAUGUAUGGCCUGCCCACUGAAUAUUGAAGGGCCGCGGUAUUUUGACCGUGCAAAGGUAGCAUAAUCAUUAGUCUUUUAAUUGUAGGCUGGAAUGAAUGGUUUGACGAGGUGUUAACUGUCUUUAAUUUUUUUUAUUGAAUUUAAAUUUUAGGUUAAAAUGCCUAAAUGUUUUUUUGGGACGAGAAGACCCUAUAGAGUUUUAUAUAUUUUUAUAUUUUUUGUAAGAUAAUUUUUAAUGUUAAAGUUUAUUUUGUUGGGGUGAUGAGAAGAUUAAAUUAACUCUUUUUGUUUUUUUUAUAUUUAUUUAUAUUUAUUUGAUCCAUUUAUAUUGAUUAAAAGACUAAAUUACCUUAGGGAUAACAGCGUAA
rnacentral:rRNA from 1 species